AACGAACGCUGGCGGCAUGCCUAACACAUGCAAGUCGAACGAGACCUUCGGGUCUAGUGGCGCACGGGUGCGUAACGCGUGGGAACCUGCCCUUAGGUUCGGAAUAACUCCCCGAAAGGGGUGCUAAUACCGGAUAAUGUCUUCGGACCAAAGAUUUAUCGCCUUUGGAUGGGCCCGCGUUGGAUUAGCUAGUUGGUAGGGUAAAAGCCUACCAAGGCGACGAUCCAUAGCUGGUCUGAGAGGAUGAUCAGCCACACUGGGACUGAGACACGGCCCAGACUACUACGGGAGGCAGCAGUGGGGAAUAUUGGACAAUGGGCUAAAGCCUGAUCCAGCAAUGCCGCGUGAGUGAUGAAGGCCUUAGGGUUGUAAAGCUCUUUUACCCGGGAUGAUAAUGACAGUACCGGGAGAAUAAGCACCGGCUAACUUCGUG
rnacentral:rRNA from 1 species